ACAGUACAAACCGAGCAGACCGUGACACACCGUCAUGGAGUCGGGUCACAUGAGUGACAGUGGGAUGAUUCAUCCACGGGACAGU
rnacentral:ncRNA from 1 species